CCUACGGGCGGCUGCAGUGAGGAAUAUUGGUCAAUGGACGAGAGUCUGAACCAGCCAAGUAGCGUGAAGGAUGACUGCCCUAUGGGUUGUAAACUUCUUUUAUAUGGGAAUAAAAUGUUCCACGUGUGGGAUUUUGUAUGUCCCAUAUGAAUAAGGAUCGGCUAACUCCGUUCCAGCAGCCGCGGUAAUACGGAGGAUCCGAGCGUUAUCCGGAUUUAUUGGGUUUAAAGGGAGCGUAGGUGGAUUGUUAAGUCAGUUGUGAAAGUUUGCGGCUCAACCGUAAAAUUGCAGUUGAAACUGGCAGUCUUGAGUACAGUAGAGGUGGGCGGAAUUCGUGGUGUAGCGGUGAAAUGCUUAGAUAUCACGAAGAACUCCGAUUGCGAAGGCAGUUCACUGGACUGCAACUGACACUGAGGCUCGAAAGUGUGGGUAUCAAACAGGAUUAGAUACCCCAGUAGUC
rnacentral:rRNA from 1 species